rnacentral:piRNA from 1 species
UGCUCAGGCUUGGAAACAGGGUCAAUAGUA